AAAUCUCUGCUUUUCACUGGGUAUAUAUUAAUUAGUCGUCUCUCUCACUUGUGAGAAAUUCUCGAGUCAUUUAUUGUUUUUAUUUAUGAUGAUUUGGUGCAAAAUUGAAGCUUUGUUUCUCCAGUUCAGCUGAUGGAGAGUUGAGGAUUUGGGAUACUAUUCAGCACCGUGCAGUUUCUUCUGCUUGG